rnacentral:rRNA from 1 species
UACGUAGGGUGCGAGCGUUGUCCGGAAUUAUUGGGCGUAAAGAGCUCGUAGGCGGUGUGUCACGUCGAUCGUGAAAACUUACAGCUUAACUGUGAGCGUGCGGUCGAUACGGGCAUCACUGGAGUUCGGCAGGGGAGACUGGAAUUCCUGGUGUAGCGGUGAAAUGCGCAGAUAUCAGGAGGAACACCGGUGGCGAAGGCGGCGACCUGGGCCAAUACUGACGCUGAGGUGCGAAAGCGUGGGGAGCAAACAGG